AUACUCCAAGGACUCAGAUGCUGAUGGAGAUCAGAAGACAGCUCCAGGAGGCAAGAAAGUUGCGGACACCCCUUACUCAGAGGAAUCUCAAUAAAUACUAUUUGUACCAUCGAGAUCAUGAUCAUGACAUGAAGAAGUGUAUUCAACUCCAAGAUGAGAUCGAGGAUUUUAUCAGGUGCAGCUGUCUCCAUCGAUUUAUCCGACGAAGAAAAGAGCAGCAAAAAGAUCGACAAAGACCCCUUCAGUCGGUAGAGCAACCACAACAGGCUAAGCCACAAAAAGACCAACCCCC
rnacentral:lncRNA from 1 species